GGGGAUUUAGCUCAGCGGUAGAGCGCUUGCCUAACAAGUGCAAGGCCCUGGGUUCAGUCCCCA
rfam:Rattus norvegicus chromosome 5, whole genome shotgun sequence.